rnacentral:lncRNA from 1 species
AAUUGUCUGCUGGACAUUCCUCCCUGAUACAUCUCACAGAGGCUGUGGACAGGAGCACCGAGAGCCACUUCCUGGAGCAUGCUCCCCACCCCCGCAGCCUGUGGCUUCAGCCUCUGCUUCUGCAGACAGCGGUGGAGGAAGUCAGGACUGUCCCUUCUGACCUGAACACCUACCUCCAAGUCCUCCCUGUCGCCACAGAGACCCGGCAAUGCAAGUGAGUCCUGUUUGACCUCGUCAAUCAUCGCAGACUGUAAAGGUGACUCGGAUGCUCAAGAAACGAGCAUACCCAGCAGUGGGCCCCAGACUUCUCGCAGGCCCAGGUCCUCCUGGGUGCACAGAGACCUACCAGACAACGGUCCGGCUGCACUGGUGUUGUGAGAUGCCUGUGUCAGAAGACACUGAGUUCCUCACUCGCCUCCUAUCAUGCCGAUGAUCACAGGAGAAAGAGCAGGGCACAUGCAUGCCAGCAUGCUGAAGGGAGGCCAAAACCCAUGCUUGAAAACCACAGGUCCUGUUCUAGGAGCAGGAGAUAUAUUUAGCCAAGCAGGAUGUUUGUGGGUAAACCAACAUUUUGCUGUAAAUAAAAUUCUGCAAACUCGGGACUUUGAGAAUUGCAGAAGCUUACUUUGCCUGCGUAUUGGCAAGAGAGCUAUUUUCCUAACACAAGCUCACCAUGACCCUCAUUCAGAGAUGCGCUUGACGCCGAGGGUGGUGCCUUUUCGCUAAGGGGUGCUGUCAGGGGAUUGAGUAGGAGCCUGAAGAGCUAGGAGUAUCUUCUCCCUGGGCAGACCAGCAGGCAGACCCUGUCCCUUCACACUACAGUGGCACGUGAUGGGCCCCACUGCCCACCUGGUUCUGGUGUCCAGGCUGAAGUCCUCGUGUGACACUCCAAACUGUUCUGGCAAGGAAGGCUCACGGGUUCUGACCUACACUCUGAAACUGACCAGUAGUGAUAAACUCCGCAUGGACUUCAGCCAUCAUUGCGUACGUAAGAAAUACGUGUUGCACACAGAGUGCUUCUCUACAUUCCCAGGUUUGCCACUCCCCGACUUUUGCUGAAGCAGGUUUCUACUCCAUCAGUCCCACAGAUGUGUUCACAGGGCCAGCACUGAGUGUGGUGCUGGGGAAGGCAUGUGCUUGGAGGCAGCCCUGUGAGAUGGCACAGCCUAGGGGAGGAGUCGUGGUGGGGAAGACCCUGGCCACGCAUGAUAGAGGAAGCGUGGCCACACAGUCUUUGCUGUCCCUGCCACAGCAUGGUGCUGUAAGUCUCCUCCUUCCGAGUCUGUGCAGACUUAUGUGACACAUUUGACCCAACAGAAAUGCAGCAUUUGUGGUGUGUGAAAGUUCCAGACCAGGCCACAGCGAGCUCCGUGGCUUCGGCUGUGUCUCCUGGAGCACUUGCUCUCAGGACCCCCUCUCUCAGAGCCCAGGCACCACGCCGUGAGAGAGCCCCAGCCACAGAGACAGGCUACGUGUAGGUGCUUUCAUCAAAGUGCCACCUGUGCCUCCCCGCAGCAGUGUCAGGCCACCAGCUUGGACAGGCAGCUCCAGCCUCCAGUGGAGGCUUCAGAGGACAGCAUCAAACAGCAUCCACAAAGGAGACCCACCUUGUGAAAAGCGCCUAGCCAAGCCCUGCCCAAAUCCCUGGCCUGUGCAAUUGUGAGCAAAGCAAUUCAAUUUGGAGUGGUUUUAUGCUGCAGUAGGUGACCAAAGCACUAUGGAAGUGAAUAUCAGGAGCCCCUCACUGGGAUGUCAGAAGACAUUCAAGGAAGGUUUCCUGGAAGAUUUAGUACCUCAGGUGGUACAGGAGAAGGUGAGAUGGAGAGAAAGCAACCCCAGUCUGAAGACGCAGUGGUAAGAAAGGGUCAUUCCCCUGGGCAUGUGUGGUCUGCUGGGGGAUGACAGCCGAGGUGAACUUGAAGCAGAGGACACUCAGACAAGCUGCACUCUGAAUCCCGCUACGCUGACCGCAGCACUUGCUGAAGAAGCCGCCUCGCCACGCCCAAGCCCUGCAGAGGGAAGGACUGAGGAAGGCAGCUCAGAGGCCUCAGGCAGCCACAGUGUGCAUGCUUGUCUAUGACUCACAGCUACGACGUGGCCUGUGCUGCUGCAGCUGCUGAUAAGCCUCAAACCUCAUAUACCACUCUCUUCCGAGGAUUUUUUAAAUACACAAAACUGGGAGUGAGAGGGGUAUUUAAUUCCCCUACUAACACAUGUUGGGCGCAGCUGGAGCAGCCAGGCCCACUGUAGCUGGGAAGAUGCGGUGCCUUGAGGUGCAGGCACUGCUCACUGCCACAUGUGAGCACAGGUUCUGAGGGUGAAAGGUCCCUGGUAUCUGGCCAGAGUGUUAGACUCUGGAACAUAAGAAGCCCCCGAGGUGGUGGAGAAGGUCUAGCCAGGCUCCAGACUGGCUUCACAGAGGUAAUGCUUUUUGGUUUGAAAUCCGUAAGAGCGCACUACAACUUCAGGGCAAGCUCCAACAGUGCUUCUCAAACUUUAAUGAGCACCCAAAUCAUCAGGGGGCGCGGGGGCAGUGGGUCGCUUACUAAAAUGAAGAUUCUGCAUCAGGAGGUCUGGGGCGGUGACACGAUUCUGUGUUUCUAACACGUUCCUGGGUGAGGCUGAAGCCACUAGUCCAUGAAGCACACUUUGAGUAGCAAGAAUGUGGAGGAACUGUCCCAGGAUGGGCCAUGAUUUACCUGAAUUCUCACAGUGGCUUAGACAAUGGAGACCUUGUCCACAACU